UACGUAGGCAGCGAGCGUUGUUCGGAGUUACUGGGCGUAAAGGGUGUGUAGGCGGUUCUUUAAGUUUGGUGUGAAAUCUCCCGGCUCAACUGGGAGGGUGCGCCGAAUACUGAGGGACUAGAGUACGGGAGAGGAAAGUGGAAUUCCUGGUGUAGCGGUGAAAUGCGUAGAUAUCAGGAGGAACACCGGUGGUGUAGACGGCUUUCUGGACCGACACUGACGCUGAGACACGAAAGCGUGGGUAGCAAACAGG
rnacentral:rRNA from 1 species